UGGAGAGCAGGAAUGUGGGAGAGUAUGAAUUGCAAAAUGAGGAAUCUGCAGUGAGAGGAGACCAUUUAGGGAUGUGGAUUCACCAUUACUAUUAAGCCUGCUGAGGGACAUCUGGGAGAGCUGAGCAUCAUUCAGCUGUUUCAGGGUAGCGUUAAACACAUCAUUUUCACCCGUCUGACA